UACGAAGGGGGCUAGCGUUGCUCGGAAUCACUGGGCGUAAAGGGUGCGUAGGCGGGUCUUUAAGUCAGGGGUGAAAUCCUGGAGCUCAACUCCAGAACUGCCUUUGAUACUGAAGAUCUUGAGUUCGGGAGAGGUGAGUGGAACUGCGAGUGUAGAGGUGAAAUUCGUAGAUAUUCGCAAGAACACCAGUGGCGAAGGCGGCUCACUGGCUCAUUUCUGACGCUCAGGCGCGACAGCGUGGGGAUCAAACAGG
rnacentral:rRNA from 1 species